AUUUGGUCAGUUUGGGAGUCAAAAUGGUUUCACGACGGUCUUCCUGUGCUGCUCCAGACAUGUGGUCCACAUAUCUAUAUAUGUGCUUGGUUGGUAAAUUUAUGAGAUAUAUAUAUAUAUAUAUAUAUAUAUAUAUAUAUAUAACCUUAAUUUUUUAUUAUUACACCCUUCUUGGUGUUUAGUUCACUGAGGAAGCUUCUCACCUCUCUCUCUUUCUCUCUCUCUCUCCCCCCCCCCCCCCCAGCUAGCUCGCUUUCUCCAGUUCUAGGGACCCCACCUUGAGAAGAUUAUUGCCAAGCUGGAAGGUGUGCAGCAGAGGAAAGCAAACGAGACGAUCGAGGGCUUGGAAAACAAGAUUUGCUAAGAAUGGUUGAAGGCGCUGGGUACGUGGAAAAGAGGAGACUGAGAGGAGAUAGGAGAGCCAAUAUCUCAAGGGAAGAUGGAGCAAGCUUGUUUUCUGUUGCUUCCGACUGCAGGAACCAAACCAACGGAUUCAAAUUAUGGGAAAGGAGAGUCUGAUACAACAUCAGGAAGAACUUUCUGAUGG